CUCCAUGUCUCUUGACGGAUGUUGGCCUUCACUGGUGUCACCUUGGACGCAGUUUCUUCCUCGUAAUAUUCGUUUUUAUAACUUCAGUCAGCGGGACGUCCUGGUCGGAAUGGUGGAGCUAUGACAGCAUUUCAGGCCCAGACUUCUGGGGCUUGAUCAACACGG